rnacentral:rRNA from 1 species
UUUUAUUUGAGAGUUUGAUCCUGGCUCAGGAUGAACGCUGGCGGCGUGCCUAACACAUGCAAGUUGAGCGAUUUACUUCGGUAAAGAGCGGCGGACGGGUGAGUAACGCGUGGGUAACCUGCCCUGUACACACGGAUAACAUACCGAAAGGUAUGCUAAUACGGGAUAAUAUAUU